UUCGGGGUGGAUUAGUGGCGAACGGGUGAGUAACACGUGGGCAAUCUGCCCUUCACUCUGGGACAAGCCCUGGAAACGGGGUCUAAUACCGGAUAACACUCUGUCCUGCAUGGGACGGGGUUAAAAGCUCCGGCGGUGAAGGAUGAGCCCGCGGCCUAUCAGCUUGUUGGUGGGGUAAUGGCCUACCAAGGCGACGACGGGUAGCCGGCCUGAGAGGGCGACCGGCCACACUGGGACUGAGACACGGCCCAGACUCCUACGGGAGGCAGCAGUGGGGAAUAUUGCACAAUGGGCGAAAGCCUGAUGCAGCGACGCCGCGUGAGGGAUGACGGCCUUCGGGUUGUAAACCUCUUUCAGCAGGGAAGAAGCGAAAGUGACGGUACCUGCAGAAGAAGCGCCGGCUAACUACGUGCCAGCAGCCGCGGUAAUACGUAGGGCGCAAGCGUUGUCCGGAAUUAUUGGGCGUAAAGAGCUCGUAGGCGGCUUGUCACGUCGGAUGUGAAAGCCCGGGGCUUAACCCCGGGUCUGCAUUCGAUACGGGCUAGCUAGAGUGUGGUAGGGGAGAUCGGAAUUCCUGGUGUAGCGGUGAAAUGCGCAGAUAUCAGGAGGAACACCGGUGGCGAAGGCGGAUCUCUGGGCCAUUACUGACGCUGAGGAGCGAAAGCGUGGGGAGCGAACAGGAUUAGAUACCCUGGUA
rnacentral:rRNA from 1 species